AAUUUGCAGAGGAUGCUUUGGGCGAGGCGCCGUCCGAGUUCCUUGGAACGGGACGCCGUAGAGGGUGAGAGCCCCGUACGGUCGGAUGCCGAGCCUCUGUAAAGCUCCUUCGACGAGUCGAGUAGUUUGGGAAUGCUGCUCUAAAUGGGAGGUAAAUCUCUUCUAAAGCUAAAUACUGGCCACAGACCGAUAGCGCACAAGUAGAGUGAUCGAAAGAUGAAAAGUACUUUGAAAAGAGAGUUAAACAGCACGUGAAAUUGUUGAAAGGGAAGCGCUUGUGACCAGACGUGUGUCGGGUGAAUCAGCUGGCGUUCGCGCCAGUGCACUUCGCCCGGCACAGGCCAGCAUCGGUUCGCCGCUGGGGAGAAAGACGGCGGGAAUGUGGCUCCUCGGAGUGUUAUAGCCCACCGUGUAAUACCCUCCGGCGGACCGAGGUUCGCGCUCCGCAAGGAUGCUGGCGUAAUGGUCAUCAGCGACCCGUCUUGAAACACGGACCAAGGAGUCGUCCUAGUAUGCGAGUGUUUGGGUGCCAAACCCCUACGCGAAAUGAAAGUGAACGGAGGUGAGAGCUUCGGCGCAUCAUCGACCGAUCCUGAUGUCUUCGGAUGGAUUUGAGUACGAGCAUACUGGGCCGGACCCGAAAGAAGGUGAACUAUGCCUGUAUAGGGUGAAGCCAGAGGAAACUCUGGUGGAGGCUCGCAGCGGUUCUGACGUGCAAAUCGAUCGUC
rnacentral:rRNA from 1 species